rfam:Drosophila ficusphila unplaced genomic scaffold scf7180000454104, whole genome shotgun sequence
UGCGCUUUGGCAGUGUGGUUAGCUGGUUGUGUAGACAAUACUUGCCACUGAAAGUUCACAGCCACUAUCUUCACUGCCGCCGCGAC